GAAUAUUGGACAAUGGGCGCAAGCCUGAUCCAGCCAUGCCGCGUGUGUGAAGAAGGCCUUCGGGUUGUAAAGCACUUUUGUUGGGGAAGAAAAGCCAUGGGCUAAUACCCUGUGGUUCUGACGGUACCCAAAGAAUAAGCACCGGCUAACUUCGUGCCAGCAGCCGCGGUAAUACGAAGGGUGCAAGCGUUACUCAGAAUUACUGGGCGUAAAGCGCACGUAGGCGGCUCUUUAAGUCUCAUUGUGAAAGCCCGCGGCUCAACCGCGGGAGGCCAAGGGAUACUGGAGGGCUGGAGACAGGUAGAGGCGAGCGGAAUUCCGGGUGUAGCGGUGGAAUGCGUAGAGAUCCGGAAGAACACCAGAGGCGAAGGCGGCUCGCUGGACCUUGUCUGACGCUGAGGUGCGAAAGCGUGGGGAGCGAACAG
rnacentral:rRNA from 1 species